GCCAAGCAUUUGAAGAUGAUGCCAGCAUAAUAUUCCAACUCAGAGCGAUGAUAGUGAUUCAGAAGUACAAAAUCAAUGAAUCGUUGGAUUGCUUUAUCUUCCAUGUAAUGUGUCUCUUUUGACUCGAUGUUAUCAUCUAAUAAAUUCGAGUUGUAUGCUGUUCAUUCAGACUUGUUUUACUGUCUCUUAAGAUGGUACGGCAUGUGGUUUACUGGAUUCACAUCUUAGCUGUUCUUAUCUGCUUACUGCUUAGUAUUUGCUCUGCCACAACGUGUUUGGGCAAUCUUAUUAGUAACUUGAGGGCUGCGGCUAUGUCCUGCAUUAGCGCAUCCCAAGUUUGCUAGAAUACUUUCACAAGAGAAUAAUGAAAUUGGAAAAUGGAGCAUGACUUCAUGGUUGCGCCGGUGCAGGUGCAGUAGCAGUAGCAAAUUAGGACUUGCACUUUUCAGUCAUUAUACAGUAUAUACCAAUUUUAACAACAGCAAUGGACCACUAUUUACAUUCAAAUUUGGUUUCUUAGCUAGCUGCCUGUUAAUAAAUCAAUGAUACAUACUUUAUGUAGUACAAUUAAGUAUUCACUGCCAUGAUUUUGAGGGAUCAGAGAUGAAGAAAUCUUUGAGCAUUUGAAUUAGAAAUGGUCAAAGUAGCUUUUAUGAUUUAGGGGGACGAACUGUGUCUCCAACUCAAAGCCUCAGCAGAAGAAAUUUUGCAUGGCCAGCUCGAGUUCCAACAAAAAAUUGCCUAGGGUGUACCUUAUACCUCAAGCUCUCAAAUAUCUCUCCAAUCAAAAAGAGGUGGCCAGUCUCGAGAUCGCAGAAUAAGUUUCAGCCAUUGCCGCCUUCGAUUCGUGCCAUUUUAUGACGAAAGGUGGCAAGUACUCUAGCUCGCUGUGCUCCCCACCUCCAUUGGUGUUUUUAGUUUGCUUUGUCACAUCGCAAAUUUUUUUAUUUUAUU
rnacentral:misc_RNA from 1 species